rnacentral:rRNA from 1 species
AUGCCGCGUGUGUAAGAAGGCCUUCGGGUUGUAAAGCACUUUUGUCAGGAACGAAACGGUGAGGGCUAAUAUCCCUUGCUAAUGACGGUACCUGAAGAAUAAGCACCGGCUAACUACGUGCCAGCAGCCGCGGUAAUACGUAGGGUGCAAGCGUUAAUCGGAAUUACUGGGCGUAAAGCGUGCGUAGGCGGCUUUGUAAGCCAGAUGUGAAAGCCCUGGGCUUAACCUGGGAACUGCAUUUGGAACUGCAAAGCUAGAGUUUGGAAGAGGAGAGUGGAAUUUCAGGUGUAGCGGUGAAAUGCGUAGAGAUCUGAAGGAACAUCAGUGGCGAAGGCGACUCUCUGGUCUAAAACUGACGCUGAGGUACGAAAGCGUGGGUAGCAAACAGGAUUAGAUACCCUGGUAGUCCACGCCGUAAACGAAGUCAACUAGCCGUUGGCUCUCUAUGAGAGUUAGUGGCGCAGCUAACGCAUUAAGUUGACCGCCUGGGGAGUACGGACGGAAAGUUAAAACUCCACUUGAAUUGACGGAGAGCCCGGACAAGCGGU